rnacentral:rRNA from 1 species
CCGGAUAUGAGGAGCGGCCGCAUGGUCGGCUUCUGGAAAGAUUUUUCGGUCUGGGAUGGGCUCGCGGCCUAUCAGCUUGUUGGUGAGGUAAUGGCUCACCAAGGCGUCGACGGGUAGCCGGCCUGAGAGGGUGACCGGCCACACUGGGACUGAGACACGGCCCAGACUCCUACGGGAGGCAGCAGUGGGGAAUAUUGCACAAUGGGCGGAAGCCUGAUGCAGCAACGCCGCGUGAGGGAUGACGGCCUUCGGGUUGUAAACCUCUUUUAGCAAGGAAGAAGCGGAAGUGACGGUACUUGCAGAAAAAGCGCCGGCUAACUACGUGCCAGCAGCCGCGGUAAUACGUAGGGCGCAAGCGUUAUCCGGAAUUAUUGGGCGUAAAGAGCUCGUAGGCGGUUUGUCGCGUCUGCUGUGAAAACUGGAGGCUCAACCUCCAGCCUGCAGUGGGUACGGGCAGACUAGAGUGCGGUAGGGGAGAUUGGAAUUCCUGGUGUAGCGGUGGAAUGCGCAGAUAUCAGGAGGAACACCGAUGGCGAAGGCAGAUCUCUGGGCCGUAACUGACGCUGAGGAGCGAAAGGGUGGGGAGCAAACAGGCUUAGAUACCCUGGUAGUCCACCCCG